CAGCAGCCGCGGUAAUGCAGAGGAUGCAAGCGUUAUCCGGAAUUAUUGGGCGUAAAGGGCUCGCAGGCGGUUUCUUAAGUCUGAUGUGAAAGCCCCCGGCUCAACCGGGGAGGGUCAUUGGAAACUGGGAAACUUGAGUGCAGAAGAGGAGAGUGGAAUUCCACGUGUAGCGGUGAAAUGCGUAGAGAUGUGGAGGAACACCAGUGGCGAAGGCGACUCUCUGGUCUGUAACUGACGCUGAGGAGCGAAAGCGUGGGGAGCGAACAGGAUUAGAUACCCCAGUAGUCCCUGUCUCUUAUAA
rnacentral:rRNA from 1 species